UACAGAGGGGGCAAGCGUUAUUCGGAAUUAUUGGGCGUAAAGAGCUCGUAGGCGGUCUGUCACGUCGGAUGUGAAAGCCCGGGGCUUAACCCCGGGUCUGCAUUCGAUACGGGCAGACUAGAGUUCGGUAGGGGAGAUCGGAAUUCCUGGUGUAGCGGUGAAAUGCGCAGAUAUCAGGAGGAACACCGGUGGCGAAGGCGGAUCUCUGGGCCGAUACUGACGCUGAGGAGCGAAAGCGUGGGGAGCGAACAGG
rnacentral:rRNA from 1 species